AAGUCGUAACAAGGUUUCCGUAGGUGAACCUGCGGAAGGAUCAUUAAAAAGAUCAACCCGGUUUUGAAAUCAACGCCUUCACAGGCCUCGUGGGGCUGUUUUAAACUCACAGCAAGUCCAGUUGAUAAGUCAUGCCGGGGGCUCAGGCCCCCGGGCCGGUUGAAUCCCACCCGUGUCUACAUACUCUUGUUGCUUUGGCAGGCCGUGGUCUCCACUGUGGGCUCUGCCUGCAUGUGCCUGCCAGAGGACCAACUCUGAAUUUUAGUGAUGUCUGAGUACUAUAUAAUAGUUAAA
rnacentral:misc_RNA from 1 species